GAGAGACCACGUGAUAGCAGCAGCGAGCCGCAGAGCUGCAUUUACGUUUGAGUGCGUUUCAAACCAGCUAGCUAACUGUUGUGAUGCUUGAAGGAUCUUUACAGCACCGUUUUGUGUAACGACUUCACGCCUCUUACACUGUGUCAAAAUGCUGCAGCUCGUGAUUCUGGGGCGAUGACGGGCCGGGGUCAGAUGCGUGAACCAGAAAGGAGAUCCUAUACCACGUUCCCAGCGUGGCAUUCUGGGAAUGACUUGAAUAUAAGCAAGCCGACGAGGAUCCACCCUUAUCCAUGUCCUCGUGGGCAUCCCACCACUGCAGGACGCUUAUGCCAGACACCCAUUCGGAAUCACCACUCGCCCAACAUUUACCUACUGUGGCUAUAUCUAAAUUAGUAUGUACCAGCAAAUGUUUGCAUGAUAUAAUUUAAAAAAAAGUCUGAAAAUCCACUCUUAUCUUUAAAUAAAAAUAUUUGGAUUAACUAGAUGUGUUAAUUUUGGAAAUCUAAUACGUUUAAAUAUAAAUAAGUAAAUAAAUAUAAUUUUUUUAUUAUUUCACAGCCAUAUGAAAAUUUGACAGGUGCUUAUUAAAUCGUUUUAAGUUUUUUUGAGACAAUAACAGUAGCUUCAGCUCUGAUUCAGUU